rnacentral:rRNA from 1 species
AAUGACCGAUGGCGGCAGGAUUAACACAUGCAAGUCGAAGGAGCGGCGGACGGGGGAGUAAUGCUUGGGACUCCCGCUUAUGGAGGGGGAUAACUCAGGGAAACUGUAGCUAAUACCGACUACCAUAGGAUGAGCCCAAGUUGGAAGAGGUAGUUGGUGAGGUAAAGGCGCACAAAGCCGACGAGCCCUAGCUGGUCUGAUCGGUGGACCAGCCACACGGGGACGGAGACACGGCCCAGACUCCGAUGGGGGGCAGCAGGGGGGAAGAUUGGGCAAUGGGGGCAACCGGACGAAGCCAUGCCGCGUGAAUGAAGAAGGCCUUCGGGUUGUAAAGUGCUUGCGGUAGCGAGGCGUUACCUACAGAAGAAGCACCGGCUAACUCCGUGCCAGCAGCCGCGGUAAUAC